GAUGAACGCUAGCUACAGGCUUAACACAUGCAAGUCGCGGGGCAGCAUGGGGGUUGCUUGCACUCCCCGAUGGCGACCGGCGCACGGGUGAGUAACGCGUAUCCAACCUGCCCUUCACCACGGGAUAACCCGGCGAAAGUCGGACUAAUACCGUAUGUUGUCCAUUGACGGCAUCCGAUUUGGACGAAAGGUUUGGCGGUGAAGGAUGGGGAUGCGUCCGAUUAGCUGGACGGCGGGGUGACGGCCCACCGUGGCGACGAUCGGUAGGGGUUCUGAGAGGAAGGUCCCCCACACUGGAACUGAGACACGGUCCAGACUCCUACGGGAGGCAGCAGUGAGGAAGAGUGGUCAAUGGGCGUAAGCCUGAACCAGCCAAGUAGCGUGCAGGAUGACGGCCCUAUGGGUUGUAAACUGCUUUUAUGCGGGGAUAAAGUGGCCCACGUGUGGGUUUUUGCAGGUACCGCAUGAAUAAGGACCGGCUAAUUCCGUG
rnacentral:rRNA from 1 species